GAUGAACGCUGGCGGCGUGCCUAACACAUGCAAGUCGAGCGAUUCUCUUCGGAGAAGAGCGGCGGACGGGUGAGUAACGCGUGGGUAACCUGCCCUGUACACACGGAUAACAUACCGAAAGGUAUGCUAAUACGAGAUAAUAUGCUUUUAUCGCAUGGUAGAAGUAUCAAAGCUCCGGCGGUACAGGAUGGACCCGCGUCUGAUUAGCUAGUUGGUAAGGUAACGGCUUACCAAGGCGACGAUCAGUAGCCGACCUGAGAGGGUGAUCGGCCACAUUGGAACUGAGACACGGUCCAAACUCCUACGGGAGGCAGCAGUGGGGAAUAUUGCACAAUGGGCGAAAGCCUGAUGCAGCAACGCCGCGUGAGCGAUGAAGGCCUUCGGGUCGAAAAGACUCUGUCCUCAAGGAAGAUAAUGACGGUACUUGAGGAGGAAGCCCCGGCCUAACUACGUGCCAGCAGCCGCGGUAAGU
rnacentral:rRNA from 1 species